AAUCUGAGGCAAUGCACAUAAACCAAUACCCUAACUCGAUCCUUGUCUGUGAACCAUCUCAGCACCACUCGAUUCCAGCUCGAGCCGCCGCGUGAAUCGUCUUCACCGAAGAGAUCUGUGUUGGCGAGCCGUCCACUUUGCCGUUCUAGCUGUCAAGCAAACCGUCGAGGAGAUCUACC